UGCCCUGUAGUGUAAUUGGUAACACACGAGAUUCUGGAUCUCGGUUUCCUGGUUCGAGUCCAGGCGGGGCAGCCA
rnacentral:tRNA from 1 species